rnacentral:lncRNA from 1 species
AAUGGGGAAAAAAAGAAGAAAAACGGGGAAAAAAAGAAGAAAAACGGGGAAAAAAAGAAGAAAAACGGGGGGAAAAACGGGGGGAAAAACGGGGGGAAAAACGGGGGGAAAAACGGGGGGAAAAACGGGGGGAAAAAAAGAGUAAAGUUGGGGAAAAAAAGGUAAAAAUUGGGGAAAAGUGAGGAAAGGGAAGUGCAAAGAAUGGGAGAAAAGGGGCCAAAAUGGGGAGAAAAGGGCAAAAAUUGGGACAAAACGGGGCAGAAACGGGGGGAAAAGGGCAAAAAAUGGAGGGAAAAACUCCGCAGGUGGGGGGGGCGGAUUUGGGGUGGAUUUGGGGUGGAUUUGGGGCGGAUUUGGGGCUCCGUUGCCAUGGAGACGGCGCUGCGUUGUCAUGGCAACAAAGGGGAUGAACCGGGCAGCGGGGGGGGCACUUAUGGGGCAGGGGGGCACUUAUGGGGCGGGGGGGCACUUAUGGGGCGGGGGGGCACUUAUGGGGUUGGGAUGUGUGGGGCAGGAAUACAUACGUGGGGCAGGGACACUUAUGGGGCAGGAAUUCAUAUUUGGGGCACAGAGAUGUGGGGCAGGGAUGGACACAUAUGGGGCGGGGACACACUUACUUAUGGGGCUGGGACAUAUAUGGGGCACAGAGAUGUGGGGCAGGGACACACUUAUGGGGCUGGGACGGACACACUUAUGGGGCUGGGGCAUGUGUGGGGCUGGGACACAUAUGGGGCAGGGAUGGACAUAUGGGGCACAGAGAUGUGGGGCUGGGACACACUUAUGGGGCUGGGACACACUUAUGGGGCAAGGCAUGUAUGGGGCUGGGACAUGUGUGGGGCAGGGACACGUAUAUGGGGCACAGAGAUGUGGGGCAGGGACGCUUAUGGGGCUGGGACACACUUAUGGGGCAGAGCUUGUAUGGGGCAGGGAUGGACACAUAUGGGGCAGGGACACACUUACUUAUGGGGCAGAGAUGGACACAUAUGGGGCAGGGACGCAGUUACUUAUGGGGCAGAGAUGGACACUUAUGGGGCAGGGAUGGACACUUAUGGGGCAGGGACGCAGUUAUGGGAAGCCCAAUUUGGGGCGAUUCCACGAGCUUUUGGGUCGAUCGCACAGCAGCCCCGAAGCCCCGCCCUCUCGCGCAAACCACGCCCACCGCACAGCAAGCCACGCCCCCCGCCACCAAACCACGCCCCUCGCACAAAGCCCCGCCC